rnacentral:rRNA from 1 species
AGCGAACGCUGGCGGCAGGCCUAACACAUGCAAGUCGAACGAACCUUUCGGGGUUAGUGGCGGACGGGUGAGUAACACGUGGGAACGUGCCUUUAGGUUCGGAAUCACUCAGGGAAACUUGUGCUAAUACCGAAUGUGCCCUUCGGGGGACAGAUUUAUCGCCUUUAGAGCGGCCCGCGUCUGCUUAGCUAGUUGGUUGAGGUAAUGGCUCACCAAGGCGACGAUCAGUAGCUGGUCGGAGAGGAUGAUCAGCCACAUUGGGACUGAGACACGGCCCAAACUCCUACGGGAGGCAGCAGUGGGGAGUCUUGCGCAAUGGGCGAAAGCCUGACGCAGCCAUGCCGCGUGAAUGAUGAAGGUCUUAGGAUUGUAAAAUUCUUUCACCGGGGACGAUAAUGACGGUACCCGGAGAAGAAGCCCCGGCUAACUUCGUG